UUGUAGCUCCCAUAAUCCCCACGUGUCAUGGCUGUGCUUGCCACUGAAUUUGAGAGAAGUCUCCAAAUUAUUGAAUCAGAGGCUUCCCCUUCCCUCAGAAUCCCUCAUUUUCCAAUGAUAAAAAGUCUACCAAUUGUUCAAACCAAACACAAAUGACAACUUCUCAAGAAGCUUUACCAGAUCCCCCAGGUCCUAAUUACCCCUUUCCAUUUUUUAGCAUAAGAUCUUACAUGUACCUUUACUGAACCCUUAUUUCCUUCUACUUUAUAGUAUAGAAACAUUAAAGAGCUUCUGCACAGCAAAAGAAACUAUCAAUGGAGUAAACAGACAACCUACAGAAUGGGAGUAAACUUUUGCAAACUACACAUUUGACAAAGGUCUAAUAUCUAGCACCUCUAAGGAACUUAAACAAAUUUACAAGAAAAAAACAAACCCAUUAAAACGUGGGCAAAGGACAUGAACAGACAUUUUUCAAAAGACCUACA
rnacentral:lncRNA from 1 species